GCACUGAUAGCUCAGCGGUAGAGCAAUCGGCUGCAGUUUGAAAAGAUACAUCCGAUAGUAAGGAUUACCAUUCACAACUCUUUCACAAUCCAAGACUAACCAUCCAUCCAGGGUCCUCGGUUCAAAUCCGGGUCAGUGCU